AAAUAGAACUUUGCAGAGAGAGUUAACAGGGCGUGAAACCGUUAAUUGGCAAACGAAUCGGAGCCACGAAGUCGUUUCGCUGAGUUUGUGCGAGUUCAGCUACGAAGCCUCGGUUUCGUGGUGCAUUCUCGUGUAAACCUUUGUAAGCGUACACUGCAACCAGUUAGACGAUUGGAAAUGGGCCCAGUCGCUUGGGUUAGUAGUAGCAUCAUGGACUUCGGUUUAUGGUGUUGCUGGGCUCAAGUGAGUGAACUAUUUCCAAAUACUGACUGGCAAAAUGAAAAUCGCAAAUGCGUUAUACAAAACGCGGCAAACCACACAUGCGUCUACAUGCUCGACCAUGGGGUUUAAGCUCAGCAUUUUUGAAUUUAGACUUGCUUGCUACCAAUGGGGCAACUCUUGGUGCUUGUACAGCUUCUAUCUAAUCGGGUGUUGACUUGGCCUUAUGUUGUUUGGGUAUGCAACGAUUGGGCGUAUGUGCGAGCUUGUUCGCAAUGAUUGGCAGUGAGUAGGUCGGCUUUCCGAACGACCCGUCUUGAAACACGGACCAAGGAGUCUAAUUAGGCAUCAAGUCGAUCGGUCUUGAAUAGGCCAGACUGGUGAACUCUCACCGAUUGAAGGCGUAGAGACAUGUGAUCGUAUGUGCAAUUCCAGUGCUAGCGCGCAACAUGUGCCUGUUCGUAUAGCAAUGUAGCAAUAAUGCUGGGCGGAGCAAAGAGAUGCUUGAUUGGUACCCGAAAGAUGGUGAUGCUUGGGCAAGUUGAAGCCAGAGGAAACUCUGGUGGAGGACUGUAGCGAUUCUGACGUGCAAAUCGAUCGUCAGACCUGAGUAUAGGGGCGAAAGACUAAUCGAACCAUC
rnacentral:rRNA from 1 species